UYCCUAUUGACUCUUUAUAUUAGGUACGCUCUGCCCAGUGAUUUUUAAACGGCCGCGGUAGCCUGACCGUGCGAAGGUAGCAUAAUCAUUUGCCUUCUAAUUAGAGGCUAGAAUGAAUGAGUUUUCAUAGAUAAACCUAUACCUUAUUUAUUUAUAAAAUUUAAUAUUCAGGUGAAGAAGCCUGAUUUUCAUAAAAAGACAAAAAGACCCUAUCAAGCUUUAUAUUUUCCUAUACCUUAUAGAAAAAUGUUUAAUUGGGGAGAUUGAUGAGAAUUAAUAAACUCUCAUAACCUAUUAGAUAAAUAAAUCCUAAAAUUUAAUCAUUUAAUAUAACAAAGCUACUGUAGGGAUAACAGGCUAAUAUUUUCCUAGAGUUCAAAUUAAAGAAAAUGAUUGGCACCUCGAUGUUGGCUUAGGAUUCCUUUUUCCUGCAGAAGGGAAGAAAUGGAGGUUUGUUCAACCUUUAUUUUCCU
rnacentral:rRNA from 1 species